GAUGAACGCUGGCGGCGUGCUUAACACAUGCAAGUCGAACGAAGCGCUUUUGUCAGAUCCCUUCGGGGUGAAGACGUUAGUGACUGAGUGGCGGACGGGUGAGUAACGCGUGGAUAACCUGCCUUACACAGGGGGAUAACAGUUAGAAAUGACUGCUAAUACCGCAUAAGCGCACAGCAUCGCAUGAUGCCGUGUGAAAAACUCCGGUGGUGUAAGAUGGAUCCGCGUCUGAUUAGCUAGUUGGUGGGGUAACGGCCCACCAAGGCGACGAUCAGUAGCCGGACUGAGAGGUUGAACGGCCACAUUGGGACUGAGACACGGCCCAGACUCCUACGGGAGGCAGCAGUGGGGAAUAUUGCGCAAUGGGGGAAACCCUGACGCAGCAACGCCGCGUGAUUGAAGAAGGCCUUCGGGUUGUAAAGAUCUUUAAUCAGGGACGAAGGAAGUGACGGUACCUGAAGAAUAAGCUCCGGCUAACUACGUGCCAGCAGCCGCUGUAAAAC
rnacentral:rRNA from 1 species